rnacentral:rRNA from 1 species
AACACAUGCAAGUCGAACGUGAAAGNUCUUCGGAAUGAGUAAAGUGGCGUACGGGUGAGUAACGCGUGGGUAAUCUACCUUAAAGCGUGGAAUAACCUGCCGAAAGGCGGGCUAAUACCGCAUAGAGCGAGGAGNUCGUAAGGAACUUUUCGGGAAAGGGAGCUCGCAAGAGCCCUCACUUUAAGAUGAGCCUGCGUCUCAUUAGCUAGUUGGUAGGGUAAAAGCCUACCAAGGCGAUGAUGAGUAGCUGGUCUGAGAGGACGACCAGCCACACUGGAACUGAGACACGGUCCAGACACCUACGGGUGGCAGCAGUCGAGAAUUUUUCUCAAUGGGGGAAACCCUGAAGGAGCGACGCCGCGUGGAGGAUGAAUGUCUUCGGAUUGUAAACUCCUGUCAUUUGGGAACAAUUGUCACCGGUUAACUGCCGGGGGCUUGAUAGUACCAGAAGAGGAAGAGACGGCUAACUCUGUGCCAGCAGCCGCGGUAAUACAGAGGUCUCAAGCGUUGUUCGGAUUCAUUGGGCGUAAAGGGUGCGUAGGUGGCGGGGUAAGUCAGGUGUGAAAUCUCGGGGCUCAACCCCGAAACUGCACUUGAUACUGCCUUGCUCGAGUACUGGAGAGGAGAUUGGAAUUUACGGUGUAGCAGUGAAAUGCGUAGAUAUCGUAAGGAAGACCAGUGGCGAAGGCGAAUCUCUGGACAGUUACUGACACUGAGGCACGAAGGCCAGGGGAGCAAACGGGAUUAGAUACCCCGGUAGUCCUGGCAGUAAACGGUGCGCGUUUGGUGUGGGAGGAUUCGACCCCUUCUGUGCCGGAGCUAACGCGUUAAACGCGCCGCCUGGGGAGUACGGUCGCAAGAUUAAAACUCAAAGAAAUUGACGGGGGCCCGCACAAGCGGUGGAGUAUGUGGCUUAAUUCGAUGCAACGCGAAGAACCUUACCUAGCCUUGACAUGCAUCUCUAAGUCGGUGAAAGCCGGCGACUGUCGCAAGACAGAAUUUGCACAGGUGCUGCAUGGCUGUCGUCAGCUCGUGUCGUGAGAUGUUGGGUUAAGUCCCGCAACGAGCGCAACCCCUGUGAACUGUUGCCACCGGCCUUCGGGCCGAGCACUCUGUUCAGACUGCCCUGUGAAACGGGGAGGAAGGUGGGGAUGACGUCAAGUCAGCAUGGCCCUUACGGCUAGGGCUGCACACGUACUACAAUGCUCAGUACAGAAUGAACCGAAACCGCGAGGUGGAGGAAAUCCCUAAAACUGAGCCCAAUUCGGAUUGGAGGCUGCAACUCGCCUCCAUGAAGCCGGAAUCGCUAGUAAUGGCGUAUCAGCUACGACGCCGUGAAACAUUCCCGGGCAUUGUACAC